ensembl:lncRNA
GACCGGAGGUUGCUCAAGGAUCCUUUUCCCAAGGAAGGAUGACAUCUAGGAAAAGGAAGUCUAGUCACUGGCUUGGGAACUUUGGAAGCAUUUUCAUAUCCUCUUCACUAGUCCGGAAAUGUGUAUAUUUUUCCAUACGACAUAGUCGCUGUUUCAAAAUAUUGAAAAAAAGACUUGGAAUAGAAUCCCCAUCCCCUUCCUUAUCCACAAUCCAGAAUCUGGAAGUCCUUCCUUUGGGAUCCAGAGAAUUCAUUUCUUCAAACUGUUAAUUCAGAAGUGGCCAAGAAUAGAAGACUGUACAAAACAGGAAAGUUGUGACUUGCUGCCGACUCUUUCAUCGUGCAUGAAGAAAUUAAAAAUGGUCAUCUUCCUUUCUCCUGUCACGUACCUUUCAAAAAGUUCUUUAAGGAGAAAUUCAGAGAUUUUUUUUUUUUAAUUAACAGGGUCAAAUGAAAACGUUGUAAUUAAAACCAAUUAAGGUAAAGCUGCCCACUGGUUAAUACAUAGAAGAUUAUUUUUAUUAUUAAGGCCAGUUAAUGGGAUAAACUGCUUUAAGGGAGUGCUUGGAGAAAAGGUUCUCUUUUAAAUUUAUAAUUAUAUAUCUAUCUGUUGAAUAAAAUCAGACAAAAUUUAACAAAACUAAACAAUAAAUUGCCUUGUUGCUUCCAUAGUCAAGUCUCGAGUUAAUCUCUUGAUUUUAACAUAUUUUCUAGACCUUUAUUUCAAAUUUACUCAGUAUAUAUUUGUGUGUGCAGAUUUGUAUGUGUACAUAAAUACAUGUGUGCAUGCAUCACAGGGACUUUUCAAACUGCGUUUCUAAAUUUCAGCUAAAAAUGUUGCCCAGCAAGGCAAACUGUUUAUGCUUUUCAUUCCAUUGCUUUAGUACCAUUACUUUUGCCAAAACAGCUUGAGUUGAUUCUGCUUCUGAAUUGUAUUCCUUUCUCAUUUUUCCUGUUUUUCCCCCAGGGUCAGUAUCUUGUGACCAUGUCUCAGAACUAUCUUAAGUCUGCUCUCAAACGCACAUUAUUUCAGUCCCCCAACUCUGUCAGCCCUCCGGCCUGCUGCUAAAAUUGUCUUCCUAGAGAAGAACUCUUAUCACAGUACCAUGCACAGAAAUCCUCAACCGACUCCCUACAGACUACAGAUAAAGUUCCAAAUUAUCCAAAAUCUGGCCUCAAACUACUUCCUGUCCUGACCUUACCCCUUCCCUUUGCCUUAAUCAAAUGCUACCCCUGUCUUGUGAGCAUGCUCUGAAGAAUCUGAGUCCGCUGUUGGUUGUCACCUUGUCUGAGUUACCUGCAAUUUUUUAUAUCCUAUCCAUUCUUUAAAGCCAAAUUUAAAAGUCCCUAUCUUACAUAUAUCCUUUUUAGACUCCUAACUGGACAUAAGCAAGGAACCUCUCUUGAUCUUUCAGUAGUACUCUAAUAAACACCGUGUGCCUUCCGGAUUGUGCUCACUAAUGUCUGUAUUGCAUUACAGCUGAUAGUCUGGUCUGGUCUUAGUGCUUUGACUAGUCUCUGUGCCCUUGAGGAAUGAUUGUGUCCUUGUCAGUUCUUGUAGAACCUAGUGUGUUACAGCGACAGGAUGUAUAUAGUUAUGCAUAUGUAUAUAGUUUGACUUUGACAAUAGUAUUUUUCCAUAUCUGUAAAAUGGAAAGUAAUCCUUGUACUUGUUCAGGUACUCUUUAAGGGAGUUAAGAUAAUUAAUGGGAAUUUCUCAGCAAUAGCAAGUGCUUAAUAAAUAUUACCUAUUAUGUACCAAGUAAGUGUUUACUGAACAAUAUCUUUAUCUGAGUAAAGAAUACCCAUCUUUGGGUUAUUUCACCAGUAUUUGAGGCUUCUUUAAAAAAGAAAAAAGUUGGCGUAUACUUGACUGGAGUCUAAGUGGGCUUACCAGAAGGAUUUCCUCUCAGAACACUACCCCUGAGAUACGCUCUUGGAGCCCUCGGGCUGAGGGUCACUCGUGGAGGAAGGGAAUGCUUUCUGAUUAAGAUCAGUUUGUCCUCAGCCAACAGAAGUGAUGCACCAUCCCCCCUAAAAAUGGAUCUUGUCAGGAAAUGCACUAGAGACCAUUAAGCCUCAGAAAAAGGAAAAGAAGGGUGACAGAAAUGUGGCAGUUGCUUAGGGAGAGAAAUUUAUUUCCACCAAGAACUUUGUGGAGAACUUGUAAGAACUUUGAAGAUGCCAUAGACUAAGAAAGUAGUAAACAAUGGCGGGGGGGGGGGGGAAUACGGAGAAUAAAAAGACGGUGAUCAUGGUUGAUGGAGCUGCAGCAAUCCACCAGCCAAGUGACAGGGAGGUCUGACCACUCAGUGGAAGUAGAAAAGGAGAAAGUUUAUGGAUAUGGAAAUAAAAGUGGGUAGGUUUCAUUCGAUACAUAUUUGUUCAGUCUCCAUUAUGUGUCAGCACUGAAGCAAUGGAUUAAGAUCAGGGAACUAUAAGAAAGUUGCCUAGGAGGAUGCCCAGAUCUCCAGCUUUAACGACUUGGGGAUACUGCUGCGUUGCUUAACUGAUACUAACAGGAGUGUAGGUUUGGGGACAGAUGAAGUUUCUUGGGGCAUGUUGUUUUUGAGGUACUUUUGGACAUCCAACAUGCCAGUGUGAAAACAACAAGUCAGGACUAGAUAUUGCAUCAUCAAUUCAGAAAUGUGACCAUGCUCUGUUCCUUAAACCAUGAUCGUUCAUGCAAGUAGCCUCAGAACAAAUAGAAUGAGAUUAGUUUGCCAAGGACACAUCCAGGGUAAAACUAAUGUCUAAGGUGGAAAUGGAAGUUAAGUAAGGUAGAUGGAAAAGACUCUCAAAGGGUUAUUCUGAACAAAAAGGAAAGGAAGGUGGCGUGAAUUUGGAAAUAAAGACUGAAGCUUUUUUUCUUGAUGUAACAGGAAAUUAAGCCAUCAGGGAGUGAUGUCACAGGAAAGCUGAAGAAGAUUGCAGGUCCAGGAAGAAUGGUAUGUGUUUAGAAAACUGACCUACGGUUGAGUGGGAAAACUAAUUACACAUGAGUUUGGAAAUAGUGAAUUUACAGUGAAGCCAACCAGAGGAAAUAACCAUUUCUUUAGCCAUGAGAAAGCAGGAUCUAACAGAUUGUUAGAUCCAUUCAGAACUAGAGGGAACUGUGAGGGAAAAGAAUUUUGAAAUUUUAAAAGACUAGAGGGGCACCUGGGUGACUCAGUCGGUUACGGGGCUGGCUUCAGUCUUCUGAGUUUUAAAGUAAUGUUUAUCUUGUCCAGUUAAUACUUGCAUACAGUUUGAAAACUAAACUAGUUUCAGGAGGCACCCAGCUGCCUCUGUCAGUGCAGUGGGCAACUCUUGAUCUCAGGGUUGUCAGUUCAAGC